GAUAACUGAAAAGAGAAAGGGAGAAGACAAACCUCACCUCUACGGACAAACACGGAAGAGGAAUUGUGGAUAAUUUGUGCGGUUUCAGUGCAGCGAGUGUUCCAUCGACUUCGACUCGACCUCAGCUUUACCCAGUGUCCAGUGCAUCAGGUUCUAGGCGAGUGUUCCAUCGACUUCGACUCGAUCUCAGCUCUAGCCAGUGUCCAGUGCAUCAGGUUCUAGGGUGAGCUAUUCCUUCUAGCUCGGUUUGAAUUCUCUCGGAUAUGGCCUGAUGUCCUUAGUUUUCGGACACAUUAAGUUAUUUAUUUAUUCUGAUGUUUGAUAUUUUUAGACUUAGUAUUUUAGAAUUAGAUUCCUUGAAGUGAUGACUUUCAGGUUUUGAAAAGACGUAUCUAAUAGAUUUUAGGGGUUUUAUUAUCUCUUACUCUCAUAAAUUGAGCUUCCGCGUUAUUGUCAUAUUUUAU